rnacentral:lncRNA from 10 species
UGGCCUGUGGGAACCUGCACAAGUCGGGGGCAACAUGGUCCCAGGAAGUCUUUGACAGGCUGCCCCCUGCUGGCUGCUGCGGGAACCACAUGGCAGAUGGCUCCUGGUGUCCCCUGGAAGGUCUUGCUCUGUCACCCAGGCUGGAGUGUGUGGUGCGAUCAUGCCUCACAGCAGCCUUGACAUCCCCAGGCUCAGAUGAUCCUCCCACCUCAGCCUCCUGAGUAGCCGCGACUACAGGCGCAUGCCACCACACCCAGUAGAGACGGGGUUUCACCAUCCACAGGAUGGUCUCGAUCUCCUGACCUUGUGAUCCGCCCGCCUCAGCCUCCCAAAGUGCUGGGAUUACAGGCUGAGCCACCGCGCCCGGUCGCACCCCAACUUUAAAGAUGAGGGUCGGUGCAGGACAGAAUACAUUUCAGCUCCAAAACCAGCAUUGUCUUUAAUGGGGACUCCUAGAGGCAUUCCCACCAAGUUAGGAACAAGACAGCACGCCCACUGUUACCAGCGUAAAUCAACAAUGUACCGGAGGUGCUAACCCACACAAUAAGGCAACAUCUCCAGCAUGAAGCCCACUGGCCUCAUGUCUGUACUUCUGGAGUCCAGGUGAGCAAAGGUCACCUGCCCACUGGACUUGG